AGUGAACGCUGGCGGCAGGCCUAACACAUGCAAGUCGAGCGGCAGCGCGGGGGCAACCCUGGCGGCGAGCGGCGGACGGGUGAGGAAUUCGUCGGAAUCUGCCUGUUUGUGGGGGAUAACGUAGGGAAACUUACGCUAAUACCGCAUACGUCCUACUGGAGAAAGUGGGGGACCGCAAGGCCUCACGCAGAAAGAUGAGCCGACGACCGAUUAGCUAGUUGGUGGGGUAAAGGCCCACCAAGGCGACGAUCGGUAGCUGGUCUGAGAGGAUGAUCAGCCACAUGGGGAGUUGGACAGGGCCCAGACUCCUACGGGAGGGAGCAGUGUGGAAUGUUGGACAGUGGGCGCAAGCCUGAUCCAACGGUGCGGCGUGUGUGAAGAAGGCCUUCGGGUUGUAAAGCAGUUUUGUCCGGAAAGAAAUCCCUGGGGCUAAUACCUUCGGGGGAUGACGGUACCGGAAGAAUAAGCACCGGCUAACUUCGUG
rnacentral:rRNA from 1 species